rnacentral:rRNA from 1 species
AGACUGGAUAGGAAACAAAAAGGCAUCUUUUUGUUUUUAAAAGACCUUCUUACGAAGGUAUGCUUAAAGAGGGGCUUGCGCCACAUUAGUUAGUUGGUAGAGUAAAAGCCUACCAAGACGAUGAUGUGUAGCUGGACUGAGAGGUUGAACAGCCACAUUGGGACUGAGACACGGCCCAAACUCCUACGGGAGGCAGCAGUAGGGAAUUUUCGGCAAUGGAGGAAACUCUGACCGAGCAACGCCGCGUGAACGAUGAAGUAUUUCGGUAUGUAAAGUUCUUUUAUUGAAGAAGAAAAAGUAGUGGAAAAACUAUAUUGACGUUAUUCAAUGAAUAAGCCCCGGCUAACUAUGUGCCAGCAGCCGCGGUAAGACAUAGGGGGCGAGCGUUAUCCGGAAUUAUUGGGCGUAAAGGGUGCGUAGGCUGUUAGAUAAGUCUAUAAUUUAAUUUCAGUGCUUAACGCUGUCUUGUUAUAGAAACUGUCUUGACUAGAGUGAGAUAGAGGCAAGCGGAAUUCCAUGUGUAGCGGUAAAAUGUGUAAAUAUAUGGAGGAACACCAGAAGCGUAGGCGGCUUGCUGGGUCUUUACUGACGCUGAGGCACGAAAGCGUGGGUAGCAAACAGGAUUAGAUACCCUGGUAGUCCCCGCCGUAAACGAUGAGUACUAAGUGUCGGGGUAAAACUCGGUACUGAAGUUAACACAUUAAGUACUCCGCCUGAGUAGUACGUACGCAAGUAUGAAACUUAAAGGAAUUGACGGGACUCCGCACAAGCGGUGGAUCAUGUUGUUUAAUUCGAAGAUACACGAAAAAUCUUACCAGGUCUUGACAUACUCUGCAAAGCUAUAGAAAUAUAGUGGAGGUUAUCAGGGAUACAGGUGGUGCAUGGUUGUCGUCAGUUCGUGUCGUGAGAUGUUAGGUUAAGUCCUAAAACGAACGCAACCCUUGUCGUUAAUUGCCAGCACAUAAUGGUGGGGACUUUAACGAGACUGCCAAUUAAACAUUGGAGGAAGGUGAGGAUUACGUCAAAUCAUCAUGCCCCUUAUGAUCUGGGCUACAAACGUGAUACAAUGGCUGUGACAAAGAGUAGCUGAAACGCGAGUUUUUAGCCAAUCUCAAAAAAGCAGUCUCAGUUCGGAUUGAAGUCUGUAACUCGACUUCAUGAAGUUGGAAUCGCUAGUAAUCGCGAAUCAGCAUGUCGCGGUGAAUACGUUCUCGGGGUUUGUACACACCGCCCGUCAAACCACGAAAGUUAGCAAUGCCCGAAAGCAGUAGCUUAA